rnacentral:rRNA from 1 species
CCAGACUCCUACGGGAGGCAGCAGUGGGGAAUAUUGCACAAUGGGGGGAACCCUGAUGCAGCAAUGCCGCGUGAAGGAUGAAGGUUUUCGGAUUGUAAACUUCUUUUGUACGGGACGAAGAAAGUGACGGUACCGUAAGAAUAAGCCACGGCUAACUACGUGCCAGUAGCCGCGGUAAUACGUAGGUGGCAAGCGUUAUCCGGAUUUACUGGGUGUAAAGGGCGAGUAGGCGGGAUUGCAAGUCAGAUGUGAAAACCAUGGGCUCAACCUGUGGCCUGCAUUUGAAACUGUAGUUCUUGAGUACUGGAGAGGCAGACGGAAUUCCUAGUGUAGCGGUGAAAUGCGUAGAUAUUAGGAGGAACACCAGUGGCGAAGGCGGUCUGCUGGACAGCAACUGACGCUGAGGCGCGAAAGCGUGGGGAGCACACAGGAUUAGAUACCCUGGUAU